rnacentral:rRNA from 1 species
CAAAGGAAAUUCUGUUGGGUGNACAUGNGGAGGGAUCUUUACACAAGAUAUGAAGGCGGGGNGGAACCUCUCGGGGUUACAGCCUUGCUGANUUAUUUACCCCCGUUUUUUGCGGANUUCUUGUUUCCCUGGGGGGUUCGCCCCCCCCUAGGACAAACAUAAACCCAUUGUAAUUGCAAUAAGCGUCAGUAAAAAAUUAAUAAUUACAACAUUCAACAAAGGAGAUCUUGGUUCUGGCAUCGAUGAAGAACGCAGAGAAAAGCGAUAAGUAGUGUGAAUAGCAGAAUUCAGUGAAUCAUCGAAUCUUUGAACACACACUGCGCCCCCUGGUAUUCCAAAGGGCACGCCCGUUCGAGCGUCAUUUGUACCCCCAAGCUCUGCUUGGUGUUGGGCGUCUUGUCUCUAGCUUUGCGGGAGACUCGCCCUAAAGUAAUUGGCAGCCGGCCUACUGGUUUCGGACCGCAGCACAAGUCGCACUCUCUAUCAUCAAAGGUCUAGCAUCCAUUAAGCCUUUUUUUCAACUUUUGACCUCGGAUCAGGUAGGGAUACCCGCUNAACUUAAGCAUAUCAAUAAGCCGGGAGGAAACUCCGAGGAAAACAUC